UGGGGAAUAUUGCACAAUGGGCGCAAGCCUGAUGCAGCCAUGCCGCGUGUGUGAAGAAGGCCUUCGGGUUGUAAAGCACUUUCAGCGGGGAGGAAGGCGUUAAGGUUAAUAACCUUGGCGAUUGACGUUACCCGCAGAAGAAGCACCGGCUAACUCCGUGCCAGCAGCCGCGGUAAUACGGAGGGUGCAAGCGUUAAUCGGAAUUACUGGGCGUAAAGCGCACGCAGGCGGUCUGUCAAGUCGGAUGUGAAAUCCCCGGGCUCAACCUGGGAACUGCAUUUGAAACUGGCAGGCUAGAGUCUUGUAGAGGGGGGUAGAAUUCCAGGUGUAGCGGUGAAAUGCGUAGAGAUCUGGAGGAAUACCGGUGGCGAAGGCGGCCCCCUAGACAAAGACUGACGCUCAGGUGCGAAAGCGUGGGGAGCAAACAGG
rnacentral:rRNA from 1 species